UCCUCUUGGCUAUCUUUAUGCCAAGUUUGGUGCUUUUGUCCGCUAUGUAUAGAUUGAAACACUAAGCGACAAGACUAGAAGGCGCGGUGUAAAAGGCCGCUUCCCAGGGAAGCAUCGGCUCAUUUGUCAAUCAACCGCCGAGGAGUGAGGAUCAAAUUCAAGAUGGCGGCAAAAGUCAAGUACAAAAUGCAGAGGGGAGAGGUUUCAAAGCGCUUCCUGGUGUAUAAUAAUGCCAAUUCUACCUUCUAGUCCGAUAGAAUGUGUAAAUAACGAAACUCAGUAGAAAUAAAGCUACGAAACCAUCGUGAUUUACGCAAAAAAAAAAAACGAGCAAACGCAUGACCAGAAAACAACGAUUGCAAACCUCGAAAAAGCUAUACACAAGAAGCGAGUCAUAGUGACAUCUGAAUAAUCAACAAGAUAUAUUCCUCAAGAUAAAGCAAAUACAUAGACAUAUACAGUAUUACAUUUUCCUUGUGAUUUUAAAUCAUAAAAAUUCCUUUAUAAAGGAAACAUGUUUCGUUGCUAUCAAAAUGAUUUUAUGUGUUA